rnacentral:lncRNA from 1 species
CUCCCCUGCAGUGAGUUCUCCCAGUGAGAUCAACUCCCAGCCAGCAGGAACUGUCUCCAGUGACACUAUAUUCAAGUAACAGAUGUUUUCAGGGUGGUCAGCCACCACCAGAGCACCGCCAGGCCCUGCAGAGAACCCAGAGAGGUUCUGUGCCCAUGGCAGUCAGUGGAGGACACAGAUGUGAAGUCAUCAUGAAGCAGGAAUGUGACACUUGCUGUUUCCUUUGUGUUGCACAGAUACGGGAAGGACAAGAGUCAUUUCCAGGUUAAGAAGAUGCAACAGACAUGAGGAGACUUGCAGACGGGAUUGCUAAGGAGGCAUCUCUUCAGCAAAGGCUGGGCCGUGAGAACCCAUCCAGGAAAUGCCAGGCAGCGUGAGUAAUGCCGCAGUGCCUCUGGGAUGUGUCAGCAGGAGAUGGGUGCCGCACAAAGGGAAGCAGUGCCGCAGCUAUUUCCUGUGACUGCAGGAGAACCCGCCUGCUCCUCUGGGUAAUCGUGAGCUGACGCUGCAGGCAGCCUGGCUUGCGUCAUUCCGGCAGAGCUGGGGACUUCUCAGCAUGGGGAAAUGGCAUCCAGUUCCUGUGGGCAUGCCCAGCUGGCCCAACUUGAAAGAAGCACCAGACACAGCUGAAAAGAAGGGAGCGAAUGGCUUCUGCCAUCCCACUUGUUACCUCAGCAGCUCAUGUGGUGGACCUAGCACAGGGUUUUCUCCCGGGAUUCCUCUACGGUGUGCCAUGUACUGCUGUGGGUGA